ensembl:lncRNA
CAGUUGUUGGUUCUGGUCCCGGUGUUGUGGGUUCUGGUGUCAGUUCUGGGCCAAUUGUUGGUUCUGGUCACAGUGUUGUGGGUUCUGGUGUCGGUCCUGGUCCAACUGUUGGUUCUGGUCCUGGUGUUGGUUCAGGUGUUGGUCCUGGUUCUGGUGUUGGUUCAAUUGUUGGUCCUGGUCCAAUUGUUGGUUCUGGUCCCAGUGUUGGUUCAGGUGCUGGUCCUGGUUCUGGUGUCAGUUCUGGUCCCAGGGUUGGUCCGGGUGUUUUUCCUGGUCCUGGUGUUGGUCCUGGUUCUGGUGUUGGUCCAGGUGUUUUUCCUGGUCCCGGUGUCAGUCCUGGUUCUGGUGUUGGUCCAGGUUUUGGUCCUGGUCCUGGUGUCAGUUCCGGUCCCAGUAUUGGUCCAGGUGUUGGUCCUGGUGUCAGUCCCGGUUCCGGUGUCGGUUCUGGUUCUGGUGUUGAUGACAGUCCCAGUGUCAGCCCCUGGUCCCGUUGUUGGACCGGUGUCGGUUCUGGUCCCAGUGUUGUUCUGGUCCUGAUGCCGGUUCUGGUUCUGGUGUCGGUUCUGGUCCCGGUGUUGUUCCGGUCCUGGUGUACCUUAUGGUCCUGGUGUUGGUCCCGGUGUCGGUUCUGGUUCUGGUGUCAGUUCUGGUCCUGGUGUUGUUCCCAGUCCUGGUGUCGGUUCUGGUUCUGGUGUCAGUUCUGGUCCUGGUGUUGUUCCUGGUCCCGGUGUUGGUUCUGGUUCUGGUGUCGGUUCUGGUCCUGGUGUUGUUCCCAGUCCUGGGGUACCUUACAGUCCCACUGUUGGUCCCGGUGUUGGUUCUGGUUCUGGUGUCAGUUCUGGUCCUGGUGUUGUUCCUGGUCCUGGUGUUGGUUCUGAUCCUGGUGUCGUUCCUGGUCCCGGUGUUGGUUCUGGUUCUGGUGCCGGUUCUGGUCCCGGUGUUGUUCCCAGUCCUGGUGUCCCUUACAGUCCCACUGUUGGUCCCAGUGUCAGUUCUGGUCCUGGUGUUGUUCCUGGUCCCGGUGUCGGUUCUGGUCCUGGUGUCGGUUCUGGUCCCAGUGUUGGUUCUGGUCCCGGUGUUGUUCCGGUCCUGGUGUCAGUUCUGGUCCUGUUGUUGUUCCUGGUCCUGGUGUCGAUUCUGGUCCCGGUGUCAGACCCAGUAUUGCUGUCAGUCCCACUGUUGGUUCCGGUUCUGGUGGUACUGCUGGUUCCGGUGUCGCUCCCGGUCCAAAUUUUAAUCCAGUCCAGGCUUUAUUCCCAGCCCAGCUCUUGCUCUCAACUCCAGUCCAGGUUUUACCGGUUCCAGUCCAGGUGUUGCUCCCAGUCCGGGUUUUAUUCCCACUCCGGGUUUUGCUUCCACUCCAGUCCAGCUCCCAACUCCAGUCCGGGUUUUACUGUCAGCUCCAGUCCGGUUUUUAUUCCCAGUCCAGGUUUUGCUCCCAACUCCAGUCCGGGUUUUAUUCCCACUCCGGUUUUGCUUCCAACUCCAGUCCAGCUCCCAACUCCAGUCCGGGUUUUACCGUCUGCUCCAGUCCGGGUUUUAUUCCCAGUCCAGGUUUUGCUCCCAACUCCAGUCCGGGUUUUAUUCCCACUCCAGUCCAGGUCUCACCGCCAGCUCCAGUCCGGGUUUUAUUCCCAGUCCAGUCCAGCUCCCAACUUCAAUCCGGGUUUUACCAUCAGCUGCAGUCCGGGUUUUAUUCCCAGUCCAGAUCCCAAAUCCAAUCCGGGUUUUACCUUCAGCUCCAGUCCGGGUUUUAUUCCCAGUCCAGCUCCCAACUCCAGUCCGGGUUUUACCGUCAGCUCCACUCCGGGUUUUAUUCCCACCCCACCUGUUGCUCCCAACUCCAGUCCGGGUUCCAGCUCCGGAUCGGCUGCUAUUGGUCCCGGUUCCGCCGUUCCAGCCCCGGUUCGGUCGUUCCCGGUCCCGGCCCGGCUGCUAUUGGUUCCGGUUCUGCCGUUCCCGGUCCCGGUUCUGCCGUUCCAGCCCCGGUUCUGCCGGUCCCGGUCCCGGUUCGGCUGUUGCUGGCUCCGGUUCCGCCGUUCCCGGUCCGGUUCUGCCGUUGCCGGUCCCGGUCCGGCUGUUGUCAGCCCCGGUCCGGCUACUCUUGGUCCCGGUUCCGCCGUUCCCAGCCCCGGUUCUGCCGUUCCAGCCCCGGUUCUGCCGGUCCCGGUCCCGGUUCUGCUGUUGCCGGUCCCGGUUCUGCCGUUCCUGGUCCCGGUUCUGCCGUUCCAGCCCCGGUUCGGCCGUUCCCGGUCCCGGUUCGGCUGCUAUUGGUCCCGGUCCGGCCGUUGUCAGCCUCGGUCCGGCUGCUAUCGGUCCCGGUUCUGCCGCUCUUGGUCCCGGUUCGGCCGUUUCCGGUCCGGUUCGGCUGCUGUUGGUCCCGGUUCGGCCGUUUCCGGUCCG